AGAGUUUGAUCCUGGCUCAGGAUGAACGCUAGCGACAGGCCUAACACAUGCAAGUCGAGGGGUAACAGGGAGCUUGCUCCGCUGACGACCGGCGCACGGGUGAGUAACGCGUAUGCAACCUUCCCGCGGGAUCGGGAUAGCUCCCCGAAAGGGGGAUUAACACCGGAUGAGUCAGACGCCUGGCAUCGGGUGUCUGCCAAAUGCGAAGCCUGCGGAUGGGCAUGCGUCCCAUUAGGAAGCUGGCGGGGUAACGGCCCACCAGUCCGACGAUGGGUAGGGGUUCUGAGAGGAAGGUCCCCCACAUUGGUACUGAGACACGGACCAAACUCCUACGGGAGGCAGCAGUGAGGAAUAUUGGUCAAUGGGCGAGAGCCUGAACCAGCCAUGUCACGUGCGGGAUACGGCCCUAUGGGUCUUAAACCGCUUUUGCCAGGGGAUAAAGUCGUCCACGCGUGGAUGAUUGCAGGUACCCGGCGAAUAAGGAUCGGCUAACUCCGUGCCAGCAGCCGCGGUAAUACGGAGGAUCCGAGCGUUAUCCGGAUUUAUUGGGUUUAAAGGGUGCGCAGGCGUCACGUCAAGUCUGCGGUGAAAUGUCAGGGCUCAACCUUGGCACCGCCAUGGAAACUGACGGGCUAGAGUGCGUUUGGGGGUCGUGGAAUGUGCGGUGUAGCGGUGAAAUGCAUAGAUAUGGCACAGAACGCCGAUCGAGAAGGCAGCGACCCAAGCCGCAACUGACGCUCAGGCACGAAAGCGCGGGGAUAGAACAGGAUUAGAUACCCUGGUAGUCCGCGCAGUAAACGAUGAGUGCUAAGCGUCGGAGGGUAUCCACCGUUCAGUCAAGCAGAAAACACAAGCAUCACUCCGCGGGGGGAGUCCGACAGCAAUGUAUAAUAAUCAAAGGAAUCGAGGGGCCGCACAACAGGCGGUGCGAGCUUGUUUAUAUUUAUAUGAAAGCAAGAGGAACAUCCUCUCGCAGUGUAUAUAGAUCUAGUGGGGGAGAGCGGAGAACGCCCCCUCCCUUCGGGGCGCGAAACUAGGUGCUGCAUGGUUGUUGUCAGCUCGUGCCGUGAGGUGUCGGCUUAAGUGCCAUAACGAGCGCAACCCCUGUCCGUAGUUGCCAACGGGUAAAGCCGGGGACUCUACGGAGACUGCCACCGCAAGGUGCGAGGAAGGCGGGGAUGACGUCAAAUCAGCACGGCCCUUACGUCCGGGGCGACACACGUGUUACAAUGGGGGGUACAGAGCGAGGCGAGCCGGCGACGGCGAGCGGACCGCGGAAAGCCCCCCCCAGUUUGGAUCGGAGUCUGCAACCCGACUCCGUGAAGCUGGAUUCGCUAGUAAUCGCGCAUCAGCCAUGGCGCGGUGAAUACGUUCCCGGGCCUUGCACUCACCGCCCGUCA
rnacentral:rRNA from 1 species